GAUGAACGCUGGCGGCGUGCCUAAUACAUGCAAGUCGAGCGAACAGAUAAGGAGCUUGCUCCUUUGACGUUAGCGGCGGACGGGUGAGUAACACGUGGGUAACCUACCUAUAAGACUGGAAUAACUCCGGGAAACCGGGGCUAAUGCCGGAUAACCUUUAGAACCGCAUGGUUCUAAAGUGAAAGAUGGUUUUGCUAUCACUUAUAGAUGGACCCGCGCCGUAUUAGCUAGUUGGUAAGGUAACGGCUUACCAAGGCAACGAUACGUAGCCGACCUGAGAGGGUGAUCGGCCACACUGGAACUGAGACACGGUCCAGACUCCUACGGGAGGCAGCAGUAGGGAAUCUUCCGCAAUGGGCGAAAGCCUGACGGAGCAACGCCGCGUGAGUGAUGAAGGUCUUCGGAUCGUAAAACUCUGUUAUUAGGGAAGAACAAAUGUGUAAGUAACUGUGCACGUCUUGACGGUACCUAAUCAGAAAGCCACGGCUAACUACGUG
rnacentral:rRNA from 1 species